ACUUAUAAGACGAGAAGACCCCAUGGAGCUUCAAACCCCGCUACACCCCGAUCUCUAUAACCCACUUAACCCACACGGACCCCUGUAUAGCUGGUUUUCGGUUGGGGCGACCACGGAGUACAACAAAACCUCCACAAUGAACGGGACUAAUCCCUCACCUAAGGCCCACACCCCUAAGAAUUAGAAUACUAACAUAAAGUGAUCCAUUAUUUGAUCAAUGAACCAAGUUACCCUGGGGAUAACAGCGCAAUCCACUUCAAGAGCCCCUAUCGACAAG
rnacentral:rRNA from 1 species